rnacentral:rRNA from 1 species
GAGACCGGCGCACGGGUGCGUAACGCGUAUGCAAUCUACCUUUUACAGAGGGAUAGCCCAGAGAAAUUUGGAUUAAUACCUCAUAGUAUAAUUGAAUGGCAUCAUUUAAUUAUUAAAGUCACAACGGUAAAAGAUGAGCAUGCGUCCCAUUAGCUAGUUGGUAAGGUAACGGCUUACCAAGGCUACGAUGGGUAGGGGUCCUGAGAGGGAGAUCCCCCACACUGGUACUGAGACACGGACCAGACUCCUACGGGAGGCAGCAGUGAGGAAUAUUGGACAAUGGGCGCAAGCCUGAUCCAGCCAUGCCGCGUGCAGGAUGACGGUCCUAUGGAUUGUAAACUGCUUUUGUACAGGAAGAAACACUGGUUCGUGAACCAGCUUGACGGUACUGUAAGAAUAAGGAUCGGCUAACUCCGUGCCAGCAGCCGCGGUAAUACGGAGGAUCCAAGCGUUAUCCGGAAUCAUUGGGUUUAAAGGGUCCGUAGGCGGUUUGGUAAGUCAGUGGUGAAAGCCCAUCGCUCAACGGUGGAACGGCCAUUGAUACUGCUAGACUUGAAUUAUUAGGAAGUAACUAGAAUAUGUAGUGUAGCGGUGAAAUGCUUAGAGAUUACAUGGAAUACCAAUUGCGAAGGCAGGUUACUACUAAUGGAUUGACGCUGAUGGACGAAAGCGUGGGUAGCGAACAGGAUUAGAUACCCUGGUAGUCCACGCCGUAAACGAUGGAUACUAGCUGUUGGGCGCAAGUUCAGUGGCUAAGCGAAAGUGAUAAGUAUCCCACCUGGGGAGUACGUUCGCAAGAAUGAAACUCAAAGGAAUUGACGGGGGCCCGCACAAGCGGUGGAGCAUGUGGUUUAAUUCGAUGAUACGCGAGGAACCUUACCAAGGCUUAAAUGUAGAUUGACCGGUUUGGAAACAGACUUUUCGCAAGACAAUUUACAAGGUGCUGCAUGGUUGUCGUCAGCUCGUGCCGUGAGGUGUCAGGUUAAGUCCUAUAACGAGCGCAACCCCUGUUGUUAGUUGCCAGCGAGUCAUGUCGGGAACUCUAACAAGACUGCCAGUGCAAACUGUGAGGAAGGUGGGGAUGACGUCAAAUCAUCACGGCCCUUACGCCUUGGGCUACACACGUGCUACAAUGGCCGGUACAGAGAGCAGCCACUGGGCGACCAGGAGCGAAUCUACAAAACCGGUCACAGUUCGGAUCGGAGUCUGCAACUCGACUCC